rnacentral:lncRNA from 1 species
GCCGCGCGGCGUUUGUCUGAAGCACGGUCCUCUGCGCUGUGGGGAAAGAAGCGCCGGGUGGAGGCUGCCGGGAAGGGGCCCACUCCCCCACGCCCCCGCGCGCGUCGCCCACCCGCCAGGGCCUGGACUUGGCAACAACGUUUGCAACCCUGCUGCUGUCCUUGGCGCAGCCGGCAGGGUGAGGCUUCCAGGCAGCCGGCGGACCGCGAGGGGCGCUUUUCGGGCUUGGAACGAGGCCGUCAGAGCUUUUCUUGCCUCUGCUCGAGUCCACCCGCCACCCCCACCCAUCGCCCCGCAUGCAGGCCGAGGUUCGGGGGAAGCCGCUCUGCCAGGUGCGCGCUCGCGGCCCCGCCCGCCGGCUGGCUGUGCCCAGCCUGGAGCAGCCGGGCCUCACCCGGUCCCGCCGCCCGCGCCACGAAGCCCGCCCGGGGGCCGCCGAGAGCUCUCGGGCGCCGCGUCUGCGCCGGGACGGCUCCGCCCAGUCGGGCAGCGAGAGGCUGGGCGUUCCGGCCGGGCCGGCCCAGCGGCUCGGGCGACAGCAGGCUUCGGACCCCGCCGCUCUCUCGGGAGCUUCCCCGGGGCGUUACUGGGGCCAAGAGGCGUCGGGGCGUGAGGAAGGAGAGGACAGGGCCGGGGACCGCAGGGGCGGGAAGGAGGCGCGGGGAGGUCAGCGGAGCGGGGAGGGGCGCGGGCCCGCGGCGGGCGCGGCCGAGGACAGAGAGGGCGCUGUCUUCCUGGCAAAGGAUCCCUGGCCCGGCCGGCAGGAACCGAAACAAAAAGACAAGAACCUCCGCCCAGCUGAGCGGCGGGGUGAGGGGCGCGCGGCGGGGAGGGGCUCGGGUGGCACAGCGAUUCUCAGCCCCCAGCCCGGGAACCGCUUGGCCCGCCGCAGCCCUGCCAGAGCCGCUAGCCCCGAGUGGGACUCGCGGGGAGGGAGCUCCUUUGGCCCCUUUUGCUCUCCCCACAGUGGCCUUCCUUCAGGGUCAUCCCUCCCUCGCUUUCUCCCUCGGAAACUGGAGGCGUCAGGGUGAGGUCGGCGACGCUUCCCUGGCGAGUGAGGCGCCCCAGUUUGUCCAAGGCGAGCGGGGGCGGCGGCGAGGGGGGUCCCGAUCCCCUUUCCAGGAGCCGAGCCAGGUUUUGGGUUUCGUGAGUCCUGCGGAAGUAAAACCGCGACGCCAGCCAAUCCUUCACAUCGAAGGUGCGCAGCAAGUGGCCUCACCUGGUUUGGCCGCGCCUUGCCCGGGGACCAGAAGAGAGAGAAGACCCUCUAAUUUACUGUCACCGACUGGCUGGACGCACACUUGGCGACCAGAGGGAUCUGAAGACAGCUACUAUCAACCGUUUCCCACCCAAACCCACAAAUCUAAAAACUCAGUUUAUAUUAAUUCGCAAGAAACUGUUAUUCGUCCAUUCCAAAAGUACAUACUUUUCCUCUGUCAUCUACAAGGGAUAACGUGUUCUCAUCUUUCCAUGCUCAUAAUAAAUCAGGCAAAGCAAAACAAAAGGAUCCCACACUCACUCAUCUUCUGUCUUGAAAGGUCCCUCCGUAUUCAGGGACAUAGUUAA